rnacentral:rRNA from 1 species
CAGUAGCCGCGGGAAUACGUAGGUGGCAAGCGUUAUCCGGAAUUAUUGGGCGUAAAGCGCGCGUAGGCGGUUUUUUAAGUCUGAUGUGAAAGCCCACGGCUCAACCGUGGAGGGUCAUUGGAAACUGGAAAGCUUGAGUGCAGAAGAGGAAAGUGGAGUUCCAUGUGUAGCGGUGAAAUGCGCAGAGAUAUGGAGGAACACCAGUGGCGAAGGCGACCUUCUGGUCUGUAACUGACGUUGAUGUGCGAAAGCGUGGGGAUCAAACAGGAUUAGAUACCCGGGUAGUCCCUGUCUCUUAUAA